ACAUUUAUUCCUUACGUAAUGGAACUGUCUGGUUCUCAUCCUAUAUAAAGGCCAUAAGACUACACACUAUUUCCUCACAAAUCAAAUCAUAUAUCAAUAGCCUUGUUCCCUUGUUAUGGAACAGCAAAAUAGUAGCAACUCUUUGAAGUCUAGGGUUCUUAUUUUAUGUGUUCCAAAUUUCACUUUUUGCAGUACGAGACUUAGACUUCAAGGUUCAGAUAACAACAACGAGAACGUCUUAGUCCUAAAUAAGUUGGGGUAAUUAAAGGAGGUGACAGAAGAGAGUGAGCACCCAUGGUGUUUUCUUACAUGAGAUAUAUAUUCAUGCUUGAAGCUAUGCGUGCUCACUCUCUAUCUGUCACCCACUGUUUUCUCUCUUUCUCUCAUUAGACCUAAGUUAUUUCAUAGUUUUUCUUGAUUGACCUAAGUUAUUUCAUAGUUUUUCUUGAUUUCUAUUUGCAUAUUUGUCUGCCUAUGGAUUUUUCUAAGCUCUAAUAGAAAUUUGCAGUUCUCUAAAUAUUCAGCAAACCCUUUUCGGGCUUGGGGCUUUUGGAGGGGAGGAGAAUGUCCAGGAAUUCAACAGGAAAGCCUCAAGAAUGGUAAAGUUUUUUUCGCCGUUGAUUAGAAGUUUUCCAGGUUUGAGUUUGAGUUUGAGAAUGAUAUUCCCUUUUUGUUAGGAACCCUAAAAUCUCCCAUGGUAAGCUUUCUAUGGUGUAAAUCUAAAUUAAUCGGGUCAAGUUCUUCCAAAACGAAUCUGGAUUAGUCGGCAGGUUCCACUGAAAUUGAUUAAGAGUUUAGUGUUUAGGGCUUCUAUAAAGACCUAGCAAUUAGGGAUUCAUUAAUUCUUUUCUCUUUUACAGUAUUUAUGCUAACAAAUACUUUUAAUAUGGAAAAUAAGUUGCAAUUUUGCAGCCUUAUUUUAUUUAUGGUACAGAAAUGAUUUUGUAGUAUCAAUUUAUUAUGGAAAACAAACAACUUAUUAUAAAUUAGAUUCUUAUUUUUCUUUCGCAGUUGCUAAACCUACUAGGUCUUUUGGCAACAUGAACUGGCCUGAGGAGGUAAACAUCUAAAGUUUUUGUUAUUUUUUCUUUGUAAUUUUGUAAAUAGCCUCGCAGUUUUUCUAUUACUAGCUUUAGUGUAUUAUUGUGUAAUAUUGAUGUCAGUAUAUAAAUAUAAAAUAAUAUGACUACGUUAGUGUUUAGAUAUUUUCUCAAACAUAAAUCCUCUUUUAACUCAAAGUAUUAACCAACAUUAUCUUUUAUCCUAAAAAAUUAAAUUGGAUGGUGAAAAGAAAAAGACUUUAGUGG
rnacentral:lncRNA from 1 species